rnacentral:rRNA from 1 species
UACGUAGGGGGCAAGCGUUGUCCGGAUUUAUUGGCGUAAGAGCGUGUAGGCGGUUGGUAGUCCGCUGUGAAACUCGAGGCUCAACCUCGAGACGCCGUGAACCAUCAGCUAGAGUCGAAGAGGAGAGUGAUCUGUGUAGCGUGAAUGCGCAGAUAUCAGAGAACACCGUGCUAGCGCUCUCUAGUACGUACUGACGCUGAGACGCGAAGCGUGGGAGC